rnacentral:rRNA from 1 species
AGAGAUGAGGAGCUUGCUCUUCAAAUCGAGUGGCGAACGGGUGAGUAACGCGUGAGGAACCUGCCUCAAAGAGGGGGACAACAGUUGGAAACGACUGCUAAUACCGCAUAAGCGCACGGUUCCGCAUGGUACGGUGUGAAAAACUCCGGUGGUGUGGGAUGGACCCGCGUCUGAUUAGCUAGUUGGUGAGGUAACGGCCCACCAAGCCGACGAUCAGUAGCCGGUCUGAGAGGAUGAACGGCCACACUGGAACUGAGACACGGUCCAGACUCC